ensembl:miRNA
AGGGGGCGCCGCGGCUGGGGGUUGUGGGGGGCGGGGGCUGCAGCCUCACACAGCAGCCAGCAGGGGGCGCUC